CCGACAGACUACACUUUUUACCAACUUUUUACUGCCGCUUUGCUAUGCUAUGUUCACCAAGUAAAUCUUGUUGAAUCAGCAUGAAACCAAGCCAAACCGAACAUUCGAAUCACCACUCAUGUGUGCGCGUCCCUUCCUGCAGGGCUCGGCUGCCUUCUGGUACAACAUGCGUGACGACGGCAGCUACGACUUCCGCACCUUGCAUGGCGGAUGCUCCGUGCUACACGGCACAAAGCACGUCGCGAACGUGUGGAUUCGAUCCAAUGCCCAGAUGUUCAACCGACCGUGCCCGGCGAAGAAAAGAAGACGAAAGCCCUUCGCUCUGAACCUGCGUACUUUAUUUCUUGGUCCUGCUGCUUACAUUUUUAUUCUUGUUGUGUCUUUCUCUAUGGCUAUAUUUUUUUCAAUGGGAACGACGGGUCGUCCCUAUUAGAAUGUAUUGUUUUUAUUUUUAAAUAAAGUGAAAAGAAAAUCAA